rnacentral:rRNA from 1 species
ACAGUGGACGCGAGCAUCUGUGGCCAAGUUUUUAAGGGCGCACGGUGGAUGCCUUGGCACCAGGAACCGAUGAAGGACGUGGGAGGCCACGAUAGUCCCCGGGGAGUCGUCAACCAGGCUUUGAUCCGGGGGUUUCCGAAUGGGGAAACCCGGCAGUCGUCAUGGGCUGUCACCCAUACCUGAACACAUAGGGUAUGUGGAGGGAACGCGGGGAAGUGAAACAUCUCAGUACCCGCAGGAAGAGAAAACAACCGUGAUUCCGGGAGUAGUGGCGAGCGAAACUGGAUGAGGCUAAACCGUAUACGUGUGAGACCCGGCAGGGGUUGCGUAUGCGGGGUUGUGGGAUCUCUCUUC